rnacentral:rRNA from 1 species
UACAGAGGGUGCAAGCGUUGUUCGGAAUUAUUGGGCGUAAAGGGCGCGUAGGCGGUGCGGUAAGUCUGCGGUGAAAUCUCCCGGCUCAACUGGGAGGCUGCCGUGGAAACUGCCGUGCUUGAGUGUGGGAGAGGUGAGUGGAAUUCCCGGUGUAGCGGUGAAAUGCUUAGAUAUCGUCAAGAACACCAAUAGCGAAGGCAGCUUACUAAGCUCUAACUGACACUGAUGCACGAAAGUGUGGGGAUCAAACAGG